UACGAAGGGGGCUAGCGUUGUUCGGAAUUACUGGGCGUAAAGCGCACGUAGGCGGAUUGUUAAGUUAGGGGUGAAAUCCCAGGGCUCAACCCUGGAACUGCCUUUAAUACUGGCAAUCUCGAGUCCGAGAGAGGUGAGUGGAAUUCCGAGUGUAGAGGUGAAAUUCGUAGAUAUUCGGAGGAACACCAGUGGCGAAGGCGGCUCACUGGCUCGGUACUGACGCUGAGGUGCGAAAGCGUGGGAGCAAACAGG
rnacentral:rRNA from 1 species